UCUUUCUUUGCUGGCGACCGGCGCACGGGUGAGUAACACGUAUCCAACCCGCCCUUUACUCGGGGAUAGCCUUUCGAAAGAAAGAUUAAUACCCGAUAGUAUAAUGAUUCCGCAUGGUUUCAUUAUUAAAGGAUUCCGGUAAAGGAUGGGGAUGCGUUCCAUUAGGUUGUUGGUGAGGUAGCGGCUCACCAAGCCUUCGAUGGAUAGGGGUUCUGAGAGGAAGGUCCCCCACAUUGGAACUGAGACACGGUCCAA
rnacentral:rRNA from 1 species